rnacentral:snRNA from 1 species
GGAUGUGAGGGUGAUCUGGCUGCGACAUCUGUCACCCCAUUGAUCGCCAGGGUUAAUUCCGCUGAUCUGGCUGGCUAGGAGGGUGUCCCCCUCCUCCCUCACUGAUAUAUGUGCGUCCCUACGAAGCUGCGUGCUAGGUCAAAGAGGUGUCCUUCCCCCCAAAGGAGAGGACCGGUCUUCGGUCAAGGGUAUAGGAGUAGCUGGUAUGUGCGUCCCUACGAAGCUGCGAAGCUGCGUGCU